CCUACGGGAGGCUGCAGUCGAGAAUAUUUCGCAAUGGGGGAAACCCUGACGAUGCGACGCCGCGUGGGGGAUGAAGGUCUUCGGAUUGUAAACCUCUGUGUUAUGGGAAGAAUUGCUGGUAGGUGAUAAGCUUGCUAGCUUGACGGUACCAUAGUAGAAAGCCCCAGCUAACUGCGUGCCAGCAGCUGCGGUAAUACGUGGGGGGCAAGCGUUGUCCGGAUUUACUGGGCGUAAAGCGUGUGUAGGCGGUUACAUAAGUCGAGUGUGAAAUGGCUUGGCUCAACCAAGCAACUGCGCUCGAUACUGUGUGGCUUGAGUACGGAAGAGGAAAGUGGAAUGUAAGAUGUAGCGGUGAAAUGCGUAGAUAUCUUAUAGAACACCUAUGGCGAAGGCAGCUUUCUGGUCCGAUACUGACGCUGAGACACGAAAGCUUGGGGAGCGAACGGGAUUAGAUACCCCGG
rnacentral:rRNA from 1 species